AAUAAACCAAUUUUUCACUUUUUAUCUUUAAUUUUUAACUCUUCGUCUUAUUCAAAAAAUUUUUACGAUUGAUAUUUUUGCUUCUAUUAGAUAAUAAAUCAUGAAUAGUAUUUUACGUGUAAUUAUUUUUUUUCUAAUUUUCUAAAAAAAUUUUAAAUAAAACGGAUGGUCAAACGUUAGACACGGAAAGU
rnacentral:pre_miRNA from 1 species